rnacentral:tRNA from 1 species
UGGAGUCUUUCUUGUCCUGGUUCAAACAGGGACCUUUAGAUCUUCAGUCUAAUGCUUUCCCAACUGAACUAUUACGCC